UUGAGUUUUACUUAUUUUUGGGCAAAUUAAAAAGUAUCUUAGAGAAGCAUAUACAAUUCGGUCAGACGAAAAGAAACUGCUCGAAUGCACUUCGUGGCAAGAAGUGGCCAAGAAAGCUUAUUCGCUUGGCAAAGUGCAAAUUGAAAUGGCUUAGACUGAUGCAAAAUGGUACAAAUCCCGUCCAUCAGAAGCAUACACAAAGCCACAUCUUGGCACAGAAGCCACGAUGAAGGAAGGAGCUGCUGUCGCACAUAUAGCCAGAAGUUGUUAGGUGGAUGCCUGGCUUUGAAUGCAGAUGAGUUGACAAGGCAAAAAGUUCAAGAGAGACAAAAGAAAGAGAGAAAGAGAGAGAGAGAAUUCGUUUAGCUUUCGGUGCAUACUCACCGGAAUGGAUGGCAGAUGGCAAUAUAACGCUCCACGGUAAAAGCUGUAAUUGUGAGCACAGUGGCAUUGGCAGCCAUCUCGGACAGGACGCUCUCCAGUAUGCAUAUGCCGUCCGUGAAGGGAUAUGAG